rnacentral:pre_miRNA from 11 species
CAUGUCGUUAAAAUGCCUGUGACCUUAUGUAUUUUAUAUCAUAUCACAGCCAUUUUGACGAGUUUGG